rnacentral:lncRNA from 1 species
UUGUUGUUUUACAUGUUCACUAACAUGAUAUGAAUGCCCGGUGCUGUGGGGCGGGAACCACGCCCUCCAUUUACCAGCAGGUCACUCCUGGGAGGAUGUUCACUCGAAUCGGUCAGCCGGGUGGAGGAAGUACUACUCACCUCCUCACCACUUUACUGUAAGAGCUGAUUAGAGUUAAAGGGGUUAAAUCCGGCCGUGAAGUGGAGGAGCAGGAGGAGCAGUAUUCCUGGAGAUGAAUUACUGGAAGGAAGCCGCUGCAGACGAGGUAGGACGAGUAGGGAAGGGUCCAGAAGAAAGACACACAGCCUGGCCAAAUGUGUCACACACCUCAGGAACAAAGAGGUCGAGUUUUGCUACGUGACCUCGAGGUGUCAAAUGCGUAUGGAGGAUAUGACGAAGCGCUUGCACAAAAAAAAUUGGCGAACAAAUCAAGGUCAAGUCCAAUCUGGUAAACCUUACUGAUACCAAUCAGAUUUACGCUACAAGAUUUCUCGAAAAUACAAUGCAAUUCUGACAUCAGACAAAUUUGGUAAACCAUGACUAUUAGUUAGUUCUGGCACAAAUGUCUAAAGGUUAAGAACAAGAACAAGAAGCACCAACCAAGCUUAAUUUACUUGGUCGCCCUAGUAGAUCUCUUAAAAACUGACUUUUCUUUUGGUCUUUCUAGGUUAAAUUCACUGCUUUCAUUCACAGCUUGUGGAAGAUAUUCUCCAGAAAAAAAGAUAUUUUCCAGUUUAAGUAAGAAAAACUCUGGGGAGAUGUCCUGUCAUCAUCAUCAUCAUCAUCAUGUAGGCUGCAUAUCUCUAAACUUAACACUGAUUAAGUAACUUUUAUUUUUUCUUAAGUAACUUUUAUUUUUUUCUUAAGUAACUUUUAUUUUUUUUAUGUCUUUGACAAUUAGUUUAAUAUUUAUAACCUUAUUGUAUUUUUUUUUGCACUUUUUCUAUCUUCUAUUUGGCAUUCUUGGCGAAGAGCAAAGAAAGAAUUUCAUUGUACACUGAAACCCGUUUCUGUACUGUACAUAUGACAAUAAACUCUUUGAAUCUUGAAUCUUGAAUCUUGCA